AAGAGACAGCAGUCGCCGCGGUAAUACGUAGGUGGCAAGCGUUGUCCGGGAUUAUUGGGCGUAAAGCGCGCGCAGGCGGCCUAUCCAGUCUGUCUUAAAAGUUCGGGGCUCAACCCCGUGAUGGGAUGGAAACUAGUAGGCUAGAGUAUCGGAGAGGAAAGCGGAAUUCCUAGUGUAGCGGUGAAAUGCGUAGAUAUUAGGAAGAACACCAGUGGCGAAGGCGGCUUUCUGGACGAAAACUGACGCUGAGGCGCGAAAGCCAGGGGAGCGAACGGGAUUAGAUACCCCUGUAGUCCCUGUCUCUUAUACA
rnacentral:rRNA from 1 species